UACGUAGGUGGCAAGCGUUGUUCGGAAUUAUUGGGCGUAAAGGGCGCGUAGGCGGCCUUCUAAGUCGAACGUGAAAUCCCUGGGCUCAACCCAGGAACUGCGUCCGAUACUGGAAGGCUUGAAUCCGGGAGAGGGAUGCGGAAUUCCAGGUGUAGCGGUGAAAUGCGUAGAUAUCUGGAGGAACACCGGUGGCGAAGGCGGCAUCCUGGACCGGCAUUGACGCUGAGGCGCGAAAGCCAGGGGAGCAAACGGG
rnacentral:rRNA from 1 species